AGCGAACGCUGGCGGCAGGCCUAACACAUGCAAGUCGAACGGCUCUUCGGAGCAGUGGCGGACGGGUGAGUAACGCGUGGGAACGUGCCCUUUGGUACGGAACAACUGAGGGAAACUUCAGCUAAUACCGUAUGUGCCCCUCUUCUUAGCGGAAGGGGUGGGAAAGAUUUAUCGCCGAUGGAGGGGCCCGCGUCAGAUUAGGUAGUUGGUGGGGUAAUGGCCUACCAAGCCUACGAUCUGUAGCUGGUCUGAGAGGAUGAUCAGCCACACUGGGACUGAGAUACGGCCCAGACUCCUACGGGAGGCAGCAGUGGGGAAUCUUGGUCAAUGGGCGCAAGCCUGAACCAGCGAUGCCGCGUGAGUGAUGAAGGCC
rnacentral:rRNA from 1 species